AUUGAACGCUGGCGGCAGGCCUAACACAUGCAAGUCGAGCGAGCGGCGGGCGGGUGAGUAAUACCUGGGUAUUGCCCAGUCGAGGGGGAUAACAGGGGGAAACGACUCGUAAUACCGCAUACGAGUGGAGUGCCCAGGUGGGAUUAGCUAGUUGGUGGGGUACUGGCUCACCAAGGCGACGAUCCCUAGCUGGUCUGAGAGGAUGAUCAGCCACACUGGAACUGAGACACGGUCCAGACUCCUACGUGAGGCAGCAGUGGGGAAUAUUGCACAAUGGGCGAAAGCCUGAUCCAGCCAUGCCGCGUGUGUGAAGAAGGCCUUCGGAUUGUAAAGCACUUUCAGUGGGGAGGCGUUACUCGCAGAAGAAGCACCGGCUAACUCCGUGCCAGCAGCCGCGGUAAUUC
rnacentral:rRNA from 1 species